rnacentral:rRNA from 1 species
GACGAACGCUGGCGGCGUGCCUAAUACAUGCAAGUCGAACGCUUCUUUCCUCCCGAGUGCUUGCACUCAAUUGGAAAGAGGAGUGGCGGACGGGUGAGUAACACGUGUGUAACCUACCCAUCAGAGGGGGAUAACACUUGGAAACAGGUGCUAAUACCGCAUAACAGUUUAUGCCGCAUGGCAUAAGAGUGAAAGGCGCUUUCGGGUGUCGCUGAUGGAUGGACCCGCGGUGCAUUAGCUAGUUGGUGAGGUAACGGCUCACCAAGGCCACGAUGCAUAGCCGACCUGAGAGGGGGAUCGGCCACACUGGGACUGAGACACGGCCCAGACUCCUACGGGAGGCAGCAGUAGGGAAUCUUCGGCAAUGGACGAAAGUCUGACCGAGCAACGCCGCGUGAGUGAAGAAGGUUUUCGGAUCGUAAAACUCUGUUGUUAGAGAAGAACAAGGACGUUAGUAACUGAACGUCCCCUGACGGUAUCUAACCAGAAAGCCACGGCUAACUACGUG